AUUGAACGCUGGCGGCAGGCUUAACACAUGCAAGUCGAACGAGUGGCGGACGGGUGAGUAAUGUCUGGGAAACUGCCCGAUGGCGGGGGAUAACUACUGGAAACGGUAGCUAAUACCGCAUACCAUCGGAUGUGCCCAGAUGGGAUUAGCUAGUUGGUGGGGUAAUGGCUCACCAAGGCGACGAUCCCUAGCUGGUUUGAGAGGAUGACCGGCCACACUGGGACUGAGACACGGCCCAGACUCCUACGGGAGGCAGCAGUGGGGAAUAUUGCACAAUGGGCGAAAACCUGAUGCAGCCAUGCCGCGUGUAUGAAGAAGGCCUUCGGGUUGUAAAGUACUUUCGGCGAGGAGGCGUUACUCGCAGAAGAAGCACCGGCUAACUACGUGCCAGCAGCCGCGGUAAUAC
rnacentral:rRNA from 1 species